rnacentral:rRNA from 1 species
CGCUAGCGACAGGCUUAACACAUGCAAGUCGAGGGGCAUCAUGAGGUAGCAAUACCUUGAUGGCGACCGGCGCACGGGUGAGUAACGCGUAUGCAACCUGCCUGAUACCGGGGUAUAGCCCAUGGAAACGUGGAUUAACACCCCAUAGUACUUUUAUCCUGCCUGGGAUGUGAGUUAAAUGUUCAAGGUAUCGGAUGGGCAUGCGUCCUAUUAGUUAGUUGGCGGGGUAACAGCCCACCAAGACGAUGAUAGGUAGGGGUUCUGAGAGGAAGGUCCCCCACAUUGGAACUGAGACACGGUCCAAACUCCUACGGGAGGCAGCAGUGAGGAAUAUUGGUCAAUGGACGAGAGUCUGAACCAGCCAAGUCGCGUGAGGGAAGACUGCCCUAUGGGUUGUAAACCUCUUUUAUAAGGGAAGAAUAAGUUCUACGUGUAGAAUGAUGCCUGUACCUUAUGAAUAAGCAUCGGCUAACUCCGUGCCAGCAGCCGCGGUAAUACGGAGGAUGCGAGCGUUAUCCGGAUUUAUUGGGUUUAAAGG